GAAAGGUGGUCUGAUACCUUAUAGUAUCCAUCUCGUAUGGAUUAAAGCUUUAUGCGCUUUGGGAGGGGCCUGCGUUUGAUUAGCUAGUUGGUGAGGUAAAAAGCUCACCAAGGCGACGAUCAAUAGCUGGUUUGAGAGGAUGACCAGCCACACUGGGACUGAGAUACGGCCCAGACUCCUACGGGAGGCAGCAGUAAGGAAUCUUCCACAAUGGGGCAACCCUGAUGGAGCAAUACCGCGUGCAGGAUGAAGCGUUUCGGCGUGUAAACUGCUUUUAUCACCGAAGAUUAUGACUGUAGGUGAAGAAUAAGGACCGGCUAACUACGUG
rnacentral:rRNA from 1 species